UUUGGACACAAACAGGUACAGAUGAAAGACAAUGUGAAGACACAGGGAGAAGACCAUCUGCAAGCUAAGGAAAGAUACCUUAGAAGAAACCAACCCUAUUUCUACUUUGAUGUCAGACUUCUACCCCCCAGAAUGAAUCAAAAACACAGAGAAGAAAGGCUCUUCAUGUUCUAUGAAGACCCCUAAAUCAAGAUGGAGAACAAACUACAAAUCAAGGCAGCCAUAUUUAGAUAAACGAGUUUCCUGAGAGAAUGAAAAGUCCUAUCCUCCUAUAUCCUGAGUGAGCUACAGGAGAGAAGCAGCGAGGUGAGCAGGGAAAGCAGGUAUGGAUACAUCUGCAUGGAUGGGCAGAAAGCCUGUUGAGGUAAGAGUUAAUCUCAGUUUGGCUGUUGAAGAACUGAACACAGGAGAGCAAGAUAAUCUCCAGAUAACAGUCAGUGCCCGGUCACAAAAGGCCCCCUUCCAGAUCAACAUAAAAAAAGACCAAGGACACUCCACCCCAGGGGGAGAAGAAAGAGACCAAAAGAUCAUUUCACUUUGGAGAAGGAAAUGAAGGUCUCCACAAAGGGGGACUCCAGAAGAAAUCGGAACUGAUGGAUUAUCACAAGAAUUAAAUACUUGGAAAAUAUUAGAGAUAAGCACAAUAGAUUUAAUAGGUUUGUUUUGAACAGAUAGGUCAAAGCUCUUGGGGAAAAAUUGCAGUAGGUACAUAGAAAACCAAGCAAAAGGAAAAAGAGGUGUUUAUUAGCUUCAGGAGAAAUAAAGAAUGAUAUGAAAGAAGAAACGUAAUCAUAGGAUGCUUCUUGGUUCAGCAGAGGUCACUUCAUGUAAACAUGUAUAACUAGAUAAAAGGAGAGCCUGAAAGUGGGGGAGACGUGUGUGUGCAGCAUAAGAUCACUUAAUCUUUGCUUUUAUCUUCAUACAUAGCUUAUGUGUAUUCAAAAGUUCAUAUAUAAUGCUGAUAAAAUUCAUUACAAUAAUAUGAUUUAAGGGAUUUAAUUUCCAUAAGUAGCUGAAAGAGCUUAAAAUGAUAAUCUCAAAGAAAUGGGGCAAUUACUUUAAAAGUAAAAAGAAGGAAACUACUGUUUUUGUUGAUAAACUUUAUGGAACAAUUGGACAUGUGCAUUAAAUUUAACAUUAAAACAAGUACAUACAUAUAUUUCUUAUAUUAUCUGAAUUUAUCUGAUCUGUGUGAACCAAAAUUUGGCCUAUCCUUCAGACAGAAUUUUUAAACAAGUUAAUAUAAGUCAGUCUGGGAAGAAUUUACUAAUAUUUACUUAUAUUUUCCAAGAUCUUUUCCUUCUGAACUAAAAAAAAAAAAAAAAAAAUCUCUCUCUCUCUCUUUCUUUCUCUCUCUCUUUUCUUCCUCCACUAGAGUAACAACUCAGGAAUUGCCAAUACUACUUUUGUGGACAUUUUUUGA